CUGCUCUGACCCCCAUUCACUGUUAUCAAACAAGCUCUCUACCUUGGCCGCCGAAAGCCCCGCAUAAUGUGUAUGUUUUGUAAGUUGUUUUCCAUGUGAGGGCUGUUGGCUGGUCCCUGUGAUAGAGUACACAUCUAACCAACUGCAAAACAAGAAAAAGAAGACAGAGGAAGAGCAACAAAAUUGAAAAAACAAGUAUGGAAGGCCUCCGAGAAAAACAAU